rnacentral:rRNA from 1 species
UGGGGAAUAUUGCACAAUGGGGGAAACCCUGAUGCAGCGAUGCCGCGUGGAGGAAGAAGGUUUUCGGAUUGUAAACUCCUGUCGUAAGGGACGAUAAUGACGGUACCUUACAAGAAAGCUCCGGCUAACUACGUGCCAGCAGCCGCGGUAAUACGUAGGGAGCGAGCGUUGUCCGGAAUUACUGGGUGUAAAGGGAGCGUAGGCGGGACGGCAAGUCAGAUGUGAAAUAUACGUGCUCAACAUGUAGACUGCAUUUGAAACUGUCGUUCUUGAGUGAGGUAGAGGUAAGCGGAAUUCCUGGUGUAGCGGUGAAAUGCGUAGAGAUCAGGAGGAACAUCGGUGGCGAAGGCGGCUUACUGGGCCUUUACUGACGCUGAGGCUCGAAAGCGUGGGGAUCGAACAGGAUUAGAUACC